GACGAACGCUGGCGGCGUGCUUAACACAUGCAAGUCGAACGAGUGGCGAACGGGUGAGUAAUACGUGGGAACCUGCCCUCCUUUUUGGGAUAAGCCUUGGAAACGGGGUCUAAUACCGAAUAAAGGGGGAUGCGCUCGCGGCCUAUCGGCUUGUUGGUGGGGUGAUGGCCUACCUAGGCGACGAUCCCUAGCUGGUCUGAGAGGAGGAUCGGCCAAACUGGAACUGAGACCCGGCCCAGAUUCGUACGGUAGGCAGCAGUGGGGAAUAUUGCACAAUGGGCGCAGGCCUGAUGCAGCCAUGCCGCGUGUAUGAAGAAGGCCCUAGGGUUGUAAAGUACGUUCAGUCGGGAGGCGUUACCGACAGAAGAAGCACCGGCUAACUCCGUGCCAGCAGCCGCGGUAAUUC
rnacentral:rRNA from 1 species